ACGAGGGUAUGUGACCAAUACAAUUUGAUUUGAUUUGACUGUUAAUGUUAUACAAUUUCUCUGGCUAGAUGUUGCUGUUUGGCUAGUGGUCAGUCAGUGGCCCUAUUUUGGUGGUUUGGUUGGAGUGCUGAUGUCUUAUGGGCAUCGUUGUGAUACAGUUAGACAAUGAUGACUGAAGAGGAGACUACUUCCUGUGACGUCAUCAUGACAGCUGUCAAAGAAGACUCACAUGAGAGGAUCAUGUCCAGACAAGACCAGAGGAAAAGCUCACUAUUAGAGACUGGUACAGUAUGUGUGUGACUCUCCAGCAACAGGAGCUGAGGCUGUCUGAGGGCUCUUACAGACCUUCCAGGCCAAGCCCAGUCCUUCCUGGCCCAGCAGAGGCAGUCCACCCAGGCCAGGAGCAGGAGAGGCAUGGGCUCUCUCCAAGCUACAGCCCAGAUAGGAGGGAGAGAUGGAGGGAGAGGUCCUCUAUUGAGGAUGGUGGGAUUGACACUGGAUGGACAAGGAACGUUGGAAGAGGAUGUUGAUGGGAUUUUUGUGGCUGUUUAAAAAAAUCUUGGAUGUUAAAAAAACUAUUUUGUGUAACAUUGGCGCCCACUGCUGGUCAAAUGGUAUUGGUGUCGUUUUUUGUCCAUCUCAGUUUGAAUCUAAAAGUAAAGGAAUAGAUAGGACAGUAAAGGACUAUCACUAUUACAAUGUGUUGCCAAUGGAUUUUUGCGCUUCGAAUAAAAUAUCAACAUGA